rfam:Sarcophilus harrisii ctg7180001562428, whole genome shotgun sequence.
GCUGUUACAUUGUAACCUUGUGAUAUCAUACAGAGAAUCACAGGGUAGUAUCUCAGGGUCUGU